AUGCAGGAACUUAACUUAACUGGUGCACGUCCAUCUUCACGUCGAUCUUCAUCUUCUCAUCGGUUGCUUGCACACGGGGAGACCCAUCUCUUCACCCCCCACAUCUUCAAUCUUUCUCAUUGUCGUCGAUGCCACAUCUUAUCGAACUACACCUCCUGUCCAGCGGCAACACAACUCGCCCUAUACAUGCAACUCAUCUCCACCGUAUAUGAACUCGCCGGAACUCCACCACCACGAACGGAAACACAAGGCACGAAUUCCUUUUUCCGUCAGCUCUUGCUCGCAAUUCUCCUCUGCCAGUGA
rnacentral:rRNA from 1 species